rnacentral:SRP_RNA from 1 species
UCUGGGCGGUGUAGCGGCUCCCUGUAACCCGAGCGGGAGUAAGAGAGAUGGAAGUCGGAGCUCUUGCAGAGAACCACUGGGAUCAUGUCGAAGGCACGUCCACUUGAAGCGUGGAGUCUCUGAUCUGGGUUCUUCCGCGGAAGCGCGAGGAGUCUGGGGAAAUAAUGCGGAAGGCACAGCGUGAGGCGGGUGCCCGAGCAGCGAUCACUUUCCGCUCUGCGCAGUCGAGGGACAGCGUGCUUGAAUGCUUGCCAGUGAUCAUCCCAUGUGAGCAGUUUUUUGCGACCUUUCUC